AUUGGGCCGCAAGGUUCAAUUCAGUGGCGAAAGGGCGAGUAAUACAUCGAUCAUCUGCCCCAGGGCCCGGAAUAACACUUGGAAACGAGUGCUAAUACCGGAUGGUCCAGAAAUGGUAAACGGCGGGGACCGCAAGGCCUGCCGCCCAGGGAGGAGUCGAUGGCCUAUCAGCUUGUUGGUGAGGUAACGGCUCACCAAGGCGAAGACGGGUAGCCGGACUGAGAGGUUGGUCGGCCGCACUGGGACUGGGACACUGCCCAGACUCCUACGGGAGGCUGCAGUCGAGGAUCUUCCGCAAUGGGGGCAACCCUGACGGAGCGACGCCGCGUGCAGGAUGAAGGCCUUCGGGUCGUAAACUGCUGUCACACGUUAUGAAACUGUACGAACUAAUACUUCGUACCUUGACAAAGGCGUGAAAGGGAGCCACGGCUAACUUCGUGCCAGCAGCCGCGGUAAGACGAAGGUGGCUAGCGUUGCUCGGAUUUACUGGGCAUAAAGCGCGCGUAGGUGGUCGUGUAAGCGGGGGAUGAAAGCCCAUGGCUCACCCAUGGAACUGUCCCCCGGACUGCACGGCUCGAGGAAGGAAGGGGAGAAUGGAAUUCCCGGUGUAGCGGUGAAAUGCGUAGAUAUCGGGAGGAACGCCGGUGGCGAAAGCGAUUCUCUGGUCCUUUCCUGACACUGAGGCGCGAAAGCUAGGGGAGCAAACAGGAUUAGAUACCCUGGUAGUCCUAGCUGUAAACGAUGGGCACUAGGUAGAGGGGGUGUCGAUACUCUCUCUGUCGUAGCAAAUGUGUUAAGUGCCCCGCCUGGGGAGUACGGUCGCAAGGCU
rnacentral:rRNA from 1 species